rnacentral:rRNA from 1 species
GACGAACGCUGGCGGCGUGCUUAACACAUGCAAGUCGAACGAUGAAGCUGGAGCUUGCUCCGGUGGAUUAGUGGCGAACGGGUGAGUAACACGUGAGUAAUCUGCCCUUGACUCUGGGAUAACUGCGGGAAACUGUAGCUAAUACCGGAUACGACACCUUCGGGCAUCCGAUGGGUGUGGAAAGAAUUUCGGUCAAGGAUGAACUCGCGGCCUAUCAGCUAGUUGGUGAGGUAAUGGCUCACCAAGGCGACGACGGGUAGCCGACCUGAGAGGGUGACCGGCCACACUGGGACUGAGACACGGCCCAGACUCCUACGGGAGGCAGCAGUGGGGAAUAUUGCACAAUGGGCGAAAGCCUGAUGCAGCAACGCCGCGUGAGGGAUGAAGGCCUUCGGGUUGUAAACCUCUUUUAGUUGGGAAGAAGCGAAAGUGACGGUACCAACAGAAAAAGCGCCGGCUAACUACGUGCCAGCAGCCGCGGUAA